CCUACGGGGUGCAGCAGUGGGGAAUAUUGGACAAUGGGCGAAAGCCUGAUCCAGCCAUGCCGCGUGUGUGAAGAAGGCCUUCGGGUUGUAAAGCACUUUCAGUGGGGAAGAAAGCCUUGGGGCUAAUACCCUCGAGGAAGGACAUCACCCACAGAAGAAGCACCGGCUAACUCCGUGCCAGCAGCCGCGGUAAUACGGAGGGUGCGAGCGUUAAUCGGAAUUACGGGGCGUAAAGCGCGCGUAGGCGGUCUGAUAAGCCGGUUGUGAAAGCCCCGGGCUCAACCUGGGAACGGCAUCCGGAACUGUCAGGCUAGAGUGCAGGAGAGGAAGGUAGAAUUCCCGGUGUAGCGGUGAAAUGCGUAGAGAUCGGGAGGAAUACCAGUGGCGAAGGCGGUCUUCUGGACUGACACUGACGCUGAGGUGCGAAAGCGUGGGUAGCAAACAGGAUUAGAUACCCUUGUAGUC
rnacentral:rRNA from 1 species